AUCACUUAGCGGAGGAAAAGAAACUAACAAGGAUUCCCUCAGUAACGGCGAGUGAACGGGGAGAAGCCCAGCGCUGAAUCUUUCGGUGUUACACCGUUAAGAAAUGUAGCGUAUAGGUGUGAUUUUCAGUUUGUGCUGCAUGUCCAAAGUCCCUUUGAUAGGGGCCACAUUCCUGAGAGGGUGCGAGACCUGUGCGGACAGUGGAGCAAGCUGUACGAUCAUACCUUGGAGUCGGGUUGCUUGAAAGUGCAGCCUAAAGUGGGUGAUAAACUUCAUCUAAGGCUAAAUAUUGACGCGAAUUCGAUAGCAAACAAGUACUGUGAAGGAAAG
rnacentral:rRNA from 1 species